UACGUAGGGUGCAAGCGUUGUCCGGAAUUAUUGGGCGUAAAGAGCUCGUAGGCGGUCAGUCGCGUCUGCUGUGAAAACUCGGGGCUUAACUCCGGGCCUGCAGUGGGUACGGGCUGACUAGAGUGCGGUAGGGGAGACUGGAAUUCCUGGUGUAGCGGUGAAAUGCGCAGAUAUCAGGAGGAACACCGGUGGCGAAGGCGGCUCACUGGCCCGUUACCGACGCUCAGGCGCGACAGCGUGGGGAGCAAACAGG
rnacentral:rRNA from 1 species